AUGCUCCUACGGGGCGCAGCAGUGGGGAAUAUUGGGCAAUGGGCGCAAGCCUGACCCAGCAACGCCGCGUGAAGGAAGAAGGCUUUCGGGUUGUAAACUUCUUUUAUGAGGGACGAAACAAAUGACGGUACCUCAUGAAUAAGCCACGGCUAACUACGUGCCAGCAGCCGCGGUAAUACGUAGGUGGCAAGCGUUAUCCGGAUUUACUGGGUGUAAAGGGCGUGUAGGCGGGACUGCAAGUCAGAUGUGAAAAUUAUGGGCUCAACCCAUAACCUGCAUUUGAAGCUGGGGAACUUGAGUGCAGG
rnacentral:rRNA from 1 species